UACGUAGGGGGCAAGCGUUGUCCGGAUUUAUUGGGCGUAAAGAGCGCGUAGGCGGCCAGAUAAGUCCGGUGUGAAAGUCACAGGCUCAACCUGUGAAUGCCGCUGGAAACUGUCUGGCUAGAGUCCGGAAGGGGCGAGUAGAAUUCCUGGUGUAGCGGUGAAAUGCGCAGAUAUCAGGAGGAACACCAAUGGCGAAGGCAGCUCGCUGGGACGGUACUGACGCUGAGGCGCGAAAGCGUGGGGAGCGAACAGG
rnacentral:rRNA from 1 species